GAUUUCAAAUGAAAAAGUCAUCAACAACAAAAUUGUAUAACUCAUCAAAUCUAUAGAUUUUAUUUUGGUCAUUUUUUCAUCCGACAAAGUGAUAGUAACAUUCUUCACAAAAUUUACACAUCUAUCUUAUAAUUUAUGAAAUCAUAUGGGAGAUAUGUAAAAUUUGUGAACAAUGUUAAAAUCACUUUAUCGGAUGAACAAAUGACCAAAAUAAGAAUUGUGUAUCUAGAUGGAUUAUACAACUUUGUUGUUGAUGACUUUUUCAGUUGAAGUU
rnacentral:pre_miRNA from 1 species